UGUCGUCAUUUUUUUAAUUAAAAUAAACAUCCAAUUUUUGAAGAUUUUUUUUAAAAAAAUUGUAAUUCCACCUCCGAUCAUUUUGGUAUGCUGUUGUUUAAAGUUCUGGAAAGUUAAUGUUUUCCUCUUUCCUGUAUUCCAAGCUUUAUGGACUUCUCUAUAAAUUUUCCUCUAUGGUUCAAUUACUUCCUGUUUCCACUCUGCUAUUCUUCUUGUUUCCACUCUAUAAUUGCUUCCUAUUUGGUUUAGGUCCAAGAUUUCCAUGUGGUCCUCUUUUGUUUUGUCUAUCGCUGUUCUUAGAGUUUUAAAGAAGUGGAUUAGAAGAGCUUCUGCCUGCUGGAUGGCAAUUUGCUAGGGAGCUCGAUGUCUCCCUCCUCUCAUCCCCUCAUCCAGUUUCAGUGGGCUGAAAUGUGAAGAAAUUGCUUUACAAAGAAUGCAGAUGUGACCACUCUCCAGCUUCAUCCUUGAUAGAAUGGAUAACAGUGGAAAUGUGAAGUUGUGUAUUUAAAGGCCUCUCCAGUCAAGCAUUAUCAUAAGCAGUACUUGCUGAGGAUGAUGGGAAAUGUAACCCAACACACCUGGAUGGUGCCAUCCUGCUGGGGAAGAGCUGGUUUACACAAAUGUAAACAUACUAUUUUGAUAGCAAACCUUUCAGUUUAACUUGUUUAACAAUGUGAUUUUCUGUAUGCCAGAUAUACAAGAGUGUCAUUAUGGGAAGGUAUAGUGCUACCAGAUAAGAAAUCUGCUUCCCUCAAUGAAAUUUUCCUUCAAAUUCCAAUUGUGGAGAAGUCAUAGCUAUUGUGUUUAAAUUAUGUCUGUUGGAAUAUGUAUUUGUGUUUUAGUUGACAGUAGCCAUUUUGUAACAUGAAUGAAACAGCAGCCAUUUUGUUUCAAUUCCACAGUGGUUCGGUUACCAUGGAGACGAAGCUGGCUAGCUCCAGAAGAGGGAGAAGUGGGUGGAGCCAAGGAGAGGGAAAGGAGAGCUGUUUUAAAAAGGAGAAGCCAGAGUGUGUGUGGGAGAGAAGGUGUGUGGGAGAGAAGGAGAGAGUGUGUGUGUGCAUGGCUGGAGGAUCUUCAGUCAGAAAGGCUGAAAAGACAGGCCUGGCACUGAAAUCUUUAGUCAGGAUAGGCUAAAGGGAAUCUAGUAAGACCACUAGUUGAGAGAAGACUAGUGAUCAAAGAUUUGAUCGGUAUUGGAUCAAAUUAAUAGUUUAUGGUAGUUGGGACAUUGUCCAUUAAAGAGCUCAAGCUGAGGUUAGAGUUCGCUACA